rnacentral:lncRNA from 1 species
AGUCAGACAUGUAGAGCGGUUUCAAACUAGCUAUUUCAAAUUAUAAUUAAUUAUUUUUCUUUCUUAACUAGUUAUGAUUUUCUAAUAGCCCGUUAUAAAAUUUAAAAGUUAACCGAAAACUUAUCAAUUAUAAUAAUUUGUAUUUAUACAGAUAACCCCUUAAAGCGUCCUUUGCCCUUGGCUUUCAAGCAGCGUAAACCAAAGGAAACAUGGAAUAAGAAUCCAAACCAGUAAGUCGUCAACUUGUCCGCAAAAUUUGAUAAUUAAUGCGUGAAGAAGAAAAUUGCUAAAAAGUUGAGUUGGUCCACCACAUGAAUUUAUAAAGUAGAGCACCACCACAAUUCUCCUCUUUUCAUUUGAUAUAUUCUCCACUCCACACUACCCAUCUUCUACCCUAGCUAUACCCGAUAAUGACACGUGUGGUGCUCGGCACCAAAUCAUCUAUAUACUUCCCCACCUUAACAUAACAUGCUUCAUGAAAUUGGUGGAAAUAUUUUGGCCAUAUUUGAUUUUGGUGUUUUGGGUGGACCACCUAUUUUUUUAGAAGUUUUGUUUGUUUUGCGAAAAUAAUUUUGAGUUUUGUGUUUUAGAGAAAAUUUGAGUUUCAAAACACAAAACACAAAGCUCAGUUAAAAUGUAAGUUUUGUAGAUUUUCAAAUUGUGUUUUGUCUAACUAUUUAAAAUUUCAAUAACAUCCUUGUUAUUUUUAUAAGAUUUAAAAUUAAUUAUGAAACAAAUGACAAUCUAAUAAUUAAACCAAAAGUACUCAAAACUAAACCAUAAAUAUAUAGUUUUCAAACAAAGGGUUUUUCAAAAACGGGAGUUUUGUUUAAAUACACCGUUUCUCAAAAUAUAAAAACCAAAUGUAGCCUUAGUACUUCACAAUGGAGUUUAGAUCAUGUUUUUUAUUUAUGGUUGACUUCUAAAACCUCCCCAAAGUCAUAUUUAUAUUCGAGGAUGCAAUGGUUUAUGUCCUAUUUUUUUCAAACAAUUGUUACUUUUAUUCAUUACAAUGGAAUUUACAUAAGAUUUUGGACCCAAUUAGGAAGAAGAGAACCAGUCCGAAAAUGUAUUGCAAUUCGAUUAGCCAGUUCAUUAAUCCUCCUAGGGAUAAAAGUGCAAGAAAUAAGAUCGUUACACGAAAGAAUUGCUCUCAUACGGCCAAUCAAGGCGUAGCAUUGCCAAGGACAUGAGGCUCGUGAUCCGUGAAAGCUAUGAUGAGAGUGAGACAAUAUGAUUUGAUGAUUGUACGAAUUCCUGAAUCUUUCGCUAAUUUCAGAGCCGUCAGGAGCGUUAUAGCCUCUGCCAUGAUUGGAGAUGAACAAAGAAUUUGGCCCGAAUACCCAUUGCACACUUUCCCAUGGUAAUCCUUAAUGAUGAUCUCAUAUGUUACCACAGGAUCCUGCUCUAUGAACGAGCCAUCAUAAAAGAUUUUUUGUUGAAAACGAGCAGGCGGUAAAAUAGUGGACAAAGGGUUAAAACUGACAAUUGGUCUGUUGGGUUGCAAAGGGCUUCUUAGUCCCUGCAAAUCGUCUUUUAAAUGGUAGAUGUGGAUGGAGGUAGUCUCAAAAGAUGGUUUCUUCCCUCUAAAAGCACAUUCAUUUCUUGUCCUCCAAACUGACCAUGCGGAGGCGAUGAAAGUAAUCAAAACCGACUGGUCAUGAUUCUGCCGGAAUGAGUCCAUCCACCUGCUCAAGCCAUCAAUUGUAUCCGGCAGAGUAGUAUUUGGCAAUCUAUCACUCCAAAUCCGAUCUGCAUGAGCACACUGGAAGAAGCAGUGGAUACAUCUGCCGCCUGAUUUCCACAAAUUGGAUGCGACACAUCAGGUGAGCUACGUCGUUUGAAAAGGUUCCUUUUUGUUGCUAGAGCGUUAUUAAUCAAUUGCCGAAGGAAGAGUUUGAACUUUGGUGGAAGGCUUAUGUGUCACAACCAUUUUCACAUACCUUGAGAACCGGAGGUCGCAUUGUUUCCACUGCCUUCCAGUUUAGAUCGAAUGGAAUAAUAGGCGUAUCUCACCGAGAAGCAUCCCUGUGGGGAAGGCUUCCAACCCCAUCUGUCUUGUUGACUUUCUUUUCCAAUUGGGAUUAACUUGAUUGUCGCCAAUUGGUUUUCCAAUGUUAUCUAAUAUCAUCCACUCUCUUCCUCUCCAGAUCUCCUGUGAUAAAUGUACUGUCAUGACCGUGCAUAGUUGAUUAAUAAACUUGCUAUCCUUGGUAUUGAUUCUUUUAGCUUUUGAGAGCCUCAUUUUAAGGAAAUGACAUGUCAUUCCUCUUCCAUGAAAAGUAUUAACUAGUUGGGGAUGCAUGCUUUAACUGUCUUUCGAUGUGUCACAUCUGUCUCUCUGUCUCUGAGUUAGACGAUGCAAGCUGACACCAUCGUUCAUUGUGUAUGUGUUGGCUUUCUAGGUCGUCGAUGGUUUAAAAUAUGGUAGGCUGCGCUGGCGAUUAAAAGGGUGGAGGGGUUCUGGGAGAACCAUGCAAGGGUUGUAAGGAAAAGGCAUAAACAUCCUCAGGGAUGAUGGAAAUUACGACAGGGGAUCAUCUGAAAAAUGGGAUUAGUGGUGGAAAUGGAGGGGUGCAACGGUUAGAAAAUUUUAAAAUUGGGAGCAUUUUAGAGAUAAAGAGAGAAUCAAGCAAAAUUGGGCCCCCUAAAAUUAUGUUCUAUUAGUGCGUGGUUUAUUGUUUUUUUUUGGUAAAUUCCUAAACUUUUUAAGAUUUUAUUUAAAAGAAGUGUGUUAAUGAAUGAUAAAAAAUGCAUAUGAAAUUUUUUCUAACAACUUGAAGUACUCAUCUGCAAUAUAUAGUUCAUGAAAAUAAGUCGUAUGAGGAAGGGUGAGGCUUAUGAGAAAAACGAGUAGCAGGAUGGAAGAUUCAAAUGAUUAUUUCCAAGACAACCAACUCAAGUUCAUAUUAUAAGUUGAUGCAAUAUGUGCGGUUCGGGUAGGAGCGCUAGGCUCAAGUGCUCAUGGGGGUGCGUGUGCAGCCUUCUCCACUCGUUGGCUAAAUUCACCUUGGCCAAAUCAAUUGCAUGAUUAACAUGGUGCAUUAUUUAGUUGAUCCACAAAAAUCAGAUUUAGUAUCAUUAGAACACUUUCUAAUUGUUAGAACACUUUUUAUAAUCUUUAAAUAUUAAAAUAUUGAUUCAAUGGCCAGAAUUUAAAAAUGGAAAUUGGGGAAAAUGGUAUCUUUUUAUAAAAUUCAUAAAGUUUUGAAUGGUUUUUACGGUUUUAAUUAGAAAAAUUGAAAACAAAAAAUAGGAAAGAAUCCCAAACAUCUCGCUACAUUAUCUCUUGAACGGCCAUUUUUAUUUUCUUACUCCACGAACCUAAAAUUUCAUCGACUUCUUUUCAGUGAAAUCGCUGGCGAAUAAAAGUUUUAUAAUUCGUCGAUUGAGACUCCAAGUUUCAGUUUCGUCGCCUAAAUUUUUCUUGUCCUAUAGGCUGGUUAUUGGGUUAGUCUUUGUUGUUCUCUAUUGGUUGUUUUCCUAUUUUGGAACGAAAACACCUAAUUGAUCCCCGUGUUCCUGAUUUGACAAUCGCUAUUGUCGACCUAAUCGUAAGGUUUCUUUGACAACCGGUUGAGUAAGUCCUUUUUUAUUGCAUUUGUAUUUUUGUUCCCUAAUAAUUGUUUAGAACCUAAAAUCCAGAUCUAUCGGGUAUGAUUUGGUUUUUCAGAGUCAAUGAAGGUACGAACAAUCUAGACUUACCCUGUUGACUUCUGAUUUCGGCAAUGAAAAGGUUAGUUUUCAACUUUUCAGAUUCCACCUUCCUUUGUAUUUUUAUCAGUCUUUCAAUUGCCGAUUUGUAACUCUUUAUGUUUGAUCCUAACAAGUUCACGCAGUUCAUUAUGUCCCCGAUACCCACCUUUCAUUCCCGAGUGACACGCAGCCGUACACCGAACCUGUUGCUUUCGCCGUAAUAAUGGAACAUAGUCUCUAUCCGUAACCACAUGCAUCUGUCCAUUUCAAGCGCAGAUGCGGAGGUUAGUUUCAGUUUAUAAUUGUUUAAUAAAUUGUUUGGGUGAAUUAAUUUUUAGCUUUCAGUUGGAAUCCUAUUUGUUUAUUGUUUUGUUAAUCUCUGUUGUUUGAUAGGGUUUUUUUGUUCCUAUAUCAUUAAGCCGUUAGAGAUUUGAGUAGUUUGAUAUUUUUGGUUUCAUUUUCAAUUUAGUCGUUGUUGUUACGAGAUAGUUUGUGUAAAAAUUUAGGAACGGAUGGAACAAAAUAUAAUAUAGUAACCCAUAAUUGAGGACUAAACAAACAUCAAACAUGUAUGGUAACCAUUGGUUUCAUUGUUAAUAUUAUUUCUUUAAGAUACCAGGAUUGCUAAUUCGAGAUAAUUUGAUUGUUUCUUUGUAUUAUUAUUGCUUGUAGUUCCUAAUUAUCAUUUCUUUAAAUUUAUAGUUGUUCCUAAAUGUCUUUUUUGUAACCUAAAUUUUGUUUUUAUAAAGUAUUGUGAGUUUGGUGGUGUUUAGCUGAUUUUGUUAGUUGUUUUACAGAAUUGUUUAUUUUGUGUUUGAUUUAUUUGAUUGGUUAUUGAUACAUGUUGUACCUAUUUUUAAAUGUAGAAUAUUAUAUUUAUAGCGAAUUCAAGUCAUUCAUGAUGCUACCCAAAAUUUGAGAUUUUGGAACAUUUUAAUUGAAAAAUUGAAUGUUUUGUUAUAAAUAAUUGCUUCAUAUUCUAAAAUUGAAGUGGCAUGAGAGGAUUUCUUUCAUCGGAGCUGGUGACCAAGCAAAAGAGUUGGAGGUGGAUAAAAAAAGAGAUGAAGUACUCGAAACCGAAUUAUAAACCAAACACAACAGAGAUAACUUUAGGAGGCUGAGAAGAAGGUGACUGAGUGGGAUGGUCGAAGGAAGUCUCGUGUUCGGGAAAAUAUAUGCAUUAGGCGUUAAAUAAAUGAUUUUUAGGAGGUAUUUGAAUUUUUAGUUGGUGACGGUUUGUCAUAAAUUCUAGCGGUGUGGAGUUUGGAAAAUAUCUGACUUUUAGAAAAAUGAUGUUAUGAAUUGUUUUGGAUAUUUUCAAUUUUGAAUUGUGCACCUAAAAAAUGGUUGGAAAGAUGUAUGGCUACUAAUUACUAUAUUAACAUUCCAAACAGGUACAAUGAGUUUUAGUUUUAGAAUAAAUCAAACAAGUAUAAUAAGUUAAAUUUGGGAAAUUUUAAAACGACGGAAAAUGAGCCGUCUUCGUAGAUAAUUGCAAUAGAAAAUCGUUGCAGAGAAAAGAUAGAAUACUGAAGGAAUUAAUAAUUUUCAAUAAAGGAAUUAAAAAUUAAAAACUACCUUAAAUAGUUAAACGUGUCCAUAAUAAAAGGAACGAGAUAAUAAAACAUAAAAUAUUUAUACNNNNNNNNNNNNNNNNNNNNNNNNNNNNNNNNNNNNNNNNNNNNNNNNNNNNNNNNNNNNNNNNNNNNNNNNNNNNNNNNNNNNNNNNNNNNNNNNNNNNNNNNNNNNNNNNNNNNNNNNNNNNNNNNNNNNNNNNNNNNUGCAUUCUAUUUAUGUUGUCACAUGCAAUCUAAUAAUAUACACGUAUGAUCUAAUUAAUCGUAAACCUUUGUUUUCUUUUGAUAAAAUGUAACAUACUCGUCAUAUAAAAAAUUAUAUUAGUAAUUAAAUAAUAAAUAUGAAAUUAGGAAAUAGAAAACCAUCUUCUCCUAUAAGUAAGACCACUAAUAUCAAUUUCAUCUACUAUUUAAUUGUGGUUGAAAUAGCUUUUUCAUCUAUAUAUUUAAGUGGUGAGAAAGGGCAAAUAAUGGUUAUAAAGAGAUGAACGGCCUAGAUUAAUCGAAACAACACCACUAAUGAACUCAAUUAUUGAUGUUGAUUUUGCCCAUUUAUUGUUAUCUGAUAGUGGCUAAGCACCGCGAUGAAUGGGGCAUCAACGAAAAGCCUUUCAAUCAAUUCUAUCAUUAAAAAGGAAAAACCGACAAAUCCGGCAAAUACACAAACCCAAUAAAAUCAGGACCGUACAUCUAUCUACAAAGUAUAAAAUACCAUCGCGUAUGAAUACUUAUACUGAAUGCUAAUAUCUUCGUCAUCAUCAUCAUCAAUAGUGAUUGCGUUUCCACGUAUGCAGACGCCGGCCGCCGCAAGUCCCGGCAUCGAUCCUCGUCUUGACACGUUCAAACUCGGCGAAGGGACAAGGAAUCGUUAUCCCGCCUUCCUGGCUGAAUCCGUACUCUUGCUCCGCCUCCCUCAGUAGAUCGCCGAACAGGGGAUGGUUUACGUAAAUCACCGGCACGAACACUCUGUGACAGCCCCCGCCGCCGCCGUCCUUUUCGCCCACGUAAACCGCCAGAUGACCCUUGGGCACGGCCGCCGCUUUCUCGCAGAGCGGCUCCUUCUGUUCUUCGACCCGCAAGUAAUUACCCGGUUUGGCAGAGCAGAGCGAUUUCGCACCGGUGGUCAAUCGGCGGCCCCAGUCGAUGAUUUUCCUAAUCGGCUUGUAUCUCGGUGACGAUGACGUUGAGCCGUCGUCCCCGGAAACUAACCGAUUGUAGAGAGAGCAGUUUCUCCGCCUGCGGGUGAAGAUCCAAGUUGCGACGCGGAGAAAUCGCUUCCGUAACUUGAAUCCCUUGAUUCUUCUCAUGGUGCGGAAGCUUGGAACGGAACUGAAUCGGAUUUUGUUGUAAUGAAAGGAGUAGGAUCAGUUAGGGUUCAAGAGAAGGGCCAGGGAUCGGCGAUGGACAUGGUUAAGCGGGAUAAAGUGAGGCAGAUUUCAGAGAGAGAUUUGGGAACGUUUGACAUCCGGGAGAGUGGAGGAGAUCAGGUUAUUCAUCCGGAAAUCUGCAACUGCAAGGGUUUGCCUAUGGUGAUUCUGAUGAGUUAGUUUUGUCUGACAGGAAUUGGAGGAAGGAGGAGGGUAAGGGGUGGACGAAGAAGAAGAGUAGGAACGUCGCUUAUAUAAAUAUAAAUAAAAUAAAAGAGAAGGGGGGGGNNNNNNNNNNNNNNNNNNNNNNNNNNNNNNNNNNNNNNNNNNNNNNNNNNNNNNNNNNNNNNNNNNNNNNNNNNNNNNNNNNNNNNNNNNNNNNNNNNNNNNNNNNNNNNNNNNNNNNCAUAUGGUAUUUAAAAAUAAAAGUCAGCUGUAGGGGAAAAUUAGUUGGAUGAAUUCGUAAGAUACAGGUCUAAUAUAUAUUAGUAUAUUACACUUGUGUGAAAAUAAUUAGUUUAUAGUUAUUAAUUAAUCGAUACAGUAAAUAAAUAAAUAAUAUAUUAAAUUAAAAUAGAUAUUUCGAUGGGAAUUUUUUUAUUUUAUCCUUUUCUUGCCUUCUCUCCAGAACACUCAGAAACCUCUUCCAUAUUCAUCUUCUCUUAAACACCUCUACCCAUUUCAUAAAGAAGCAAUGAAUGAAUCCGUUAACAGAGCAGAAUCGUGAGAAUCGAUACAUCGUCACUAUCCUGACUACCUCAUCAAAAUAAUCUAUACACAGUUUGGCUCAUCUCAACUAGUGCUAACAAGAUUGAUUAACUUACAACUUUAAGAUCCAAAUCAAGACGAGUAGCAGUACUGUCAUCAUCAACAAGGGGGUUUUCUUCUUCAUGAGUCAGAGUACUUCUUCCACUCCCACUGUCAACUGUAAUAAUUCCCUUCUUAUUCUCAACAUCAUCAUCAGCAGAAGCAUAAGCAGCAGCAGCAGUACUUCUUCUAAUGUCAUUGCUAAUCAUCGCAAAGCAGCCCUCCCCUGAAGCAUUCCUGAAGCUCCACCACUCAAUCUCAUUCCCGUUCUCUCAGAGUCAACCGCUUCUGUUGCCUUUUAACCCGAACGAACCUCCAAACUAUUAAAGUAUGGAUCUUUCAUUCAUUUAUUCUAAAGACAACAAAUCACCAACAUAAUCCACUUACAGCCAUCAUCAAGCCACCAAAAUUAAAUAAAGUUAAUUGUGAUAAGAUGAUAAAAUAAAUGUAUUUUGCCUUGUUAAAUUUAUAAAAGUUAUAUAAAACCUUACAUCCAUUAUGUAUCAUCAAUCCAAAUAAAAAACAAAAAAAAAUCAAAACAAAUACAACUUCUUACAACCAAAGCAUAGGAAAAAAAGUUACUUCUCCUCGCAAAAAUUACCUUACAUUUUUUAUUAUUCAUUAAAAAUUACCUUUAAACCAAAAUUAUCAAAAUGAACUCCAUAAGUAUUUCUUUACCUUCACCUACAAUUUUUAAAGGUGAAAAUUAUGAUUAUUUGAGAUUAUUGAAGACGGUAUCAAGCCUCCCAAAUCAGAAGAAAAACCAUCAGAGAAAAAAUCAUCAGAGAAAAAUCAUCGAAAGGUCAGGAGAAGCAAAGUAAAGAAGUCACCAUGAAGAAUAUGAAAACCAUCACUUUCAUACACGCAUCCGUCUCGGAAAAUAUUUUUCCAAGAAUCGUCGUCGUCACCGCCGCAAAAGAAGUUUGGACAAUUCUUGAAAAGGAGUUCAAGGGCACGGAGAAGGCGAGAAUCAUCAAACUACAAACGUUUAUGAGAGACUUUGAGAACCUUAACAUGAAGGACGGCGAGAUGGUGAAAGACUACUCAAUCAGAGUAACCGAGGUGAUAAAUCAAAUGAAACUCUAUGGUGAAAACUUUAUAGAUUAGAGAAUCGUGGAGAAGAUGCUCAGAAGUCUGACGGAAAAGUUCGACCCAAUUGUCGCUGCCAUUGAAGAAUCAAAAGGCUUGUCAAAACUCACCAUAGCAGAACUUUCAAACUCUCUAGAGGCACAAUAGCAAAGAAUUAAUAGAAGGAGCGAAUAAAACGUCGAAGAAGCACUCCAAACAAAUCACAAACAGACGUCUACCAAGAACAAAGGGGGAAAACGACCGAGCACGAAGUCUUCAUCCGGCAAAUACCCAUCUUGCAGAACUUGCAAAAGGACCAGCCAUCUUGAAAAAAAUUGUUGGAUAAAGAACAAAACUCAAUGCACCUUUUGCAAGAAAUUCGGGCACAUCAAGAAAGUCUGCCAAUUCAAACAAGCAAGUCAAGGAUCCGAUCAACCUACUCGUCAACAACAUAGUAAGAACAACAAAGACUCAACAAAAAAUAAUUUUCACUAACUGCUUGUCAUCUGUGUGAAACAGUGAAGCUAGAAUGGCUAGUCGAUAGUGGAUACACCAACUACAUGACAUAUGACGAAAAACUCUUUUCCAAAAUCAACCGCAACAUAAAGACCUCUGUCAGGAUGGAAAAUAGAGCAUUGACAGAAGCUAAGGGCAAAGGCAUUGUUUCACUACAAUCACCAAGAGGCACAAUAAAUAUAUGAGACGUCCUACUUAUACCAGCCCUCAAGAUGAGUCUAUUUAGUGUAGGUCAACUAAUGGAAAUGAUUUUUCACUAACCUUUGAUAAUAGUUGGUGUCAAAUCCAUUUUUCAGAAUGCGAAAAAUGCUCCAAGUUCCCAUGAAAAUAAGAGUUUUCCACUUAUCUUGACGUAUGAACACGUUGGAUUGCAGGCUCAAGUCGAUGAGUCUAGAUUGUAACAUAGGAGAUCCGGCCACUACAACAUGGAGGCGCUCAACUAUCUCCAAAAAAAGAAUCUCAUCAAAGACUUACCAACUCUACAAAGCUGUGAAGAUGUGUGCGAGCCAUGUCAACUCGGGAAGCAACACAGAGAAUCAUUCCCAUCACAAAGUUCGUGGCGAGCAAAGAAAAAGCUGGAGUUGAUCCACACCGAUGUAUGUGAACCGAUGCAAGACCCAAGUUUCAACAGCAACAGAUACUUCUUAUUGUUCAUCGAUAACUUCAUCAGGAUGAUGUGGGUGUACUGCAUGAGGCACAAAUCUGAGGUCUCCUCAAUCUUCAAAAGAUUCAAAGCCAUGACCGAGAACCAAAGCGAUGAGAAAAUUAAAUUUCUACAAUCCGACAAAGGAACAGAGUAUAAUUCUAAUGAAUUUGAAAAGUUUUGUGCAGUUGCAGGCAUAGAGCAACAAACCGCCGUACGCUAAACUCCACAACAAAAUGGCAUCUCAGAAAGAAAGAACAGAACUGUGAUGGAGAUGUAAUCUUUGAUAAUCUACCCCAAUCUUUUUGGGCGGAAGCAGUCAACACAGCUGUCUAUUUGUUGAACAGACUUCCAACACGAACCCUCAAAGACAAAGUUUCAAUAGAAGCCUGGAGCUGACACAAACCAACAGUAAAACACCUGAAGGUAUUUUGCUCAAUGUGCUACACACAUGUUCCAGACCAGAAGAGACACAAGCUGGAAGACAAGGCAGGACAAGAAAUUUUCGUCGGCUACAGCUCUCAAUCCAAAGGUUUUAAGGUGUACAACAUUGAAACAGAAAAGGUCAUCAUCAGCCGAGGCAUAAAAGUUGAUGAAGAUGCUACCUAGAACUUGGAUGAAGCAAAGUCAGAGAGAAGAUAAAUAAUGAUAACUCACACGCUACCAGAUCCAGAACCAGCUCAACCAACAGAUCCGACCAACUCAGACUCAGACGGAGAAAGCUCAACCAAUUCGUCUGAAUCGUCACCAAAGAAUAUGCAAUCAUUGGCAGAGAUAUACGACUAUAACAGAGUUGUGGUUCAACCUCACUGCUAUGAAAAAGCAUCUCAAUAUGAAGAAUGAAACGUUACCAUGGAGGAGGAGCUGAAGAUGAUCGAGAAAAACCAACUUGGGAGUUGACAAAACGACCUUUUCAAAAGAAAGUCAUCGAUGUCAAGUGGAUCUAUAGAACGAAGAUGAAUCCUGAUGGCACAAUCAAUAAACACAAACCAAGAAUCGUAGCCAAGUGAUAUUAUCAGGAAGCAGGAGUCGAUUACUCGAAAACAUUUACAUCCGUCGCCAGACACGAUACCAUCCGGAUACUUUUGGUCUCUCAGCACAUAAGGGGUGGAAAAUCUUUCAACUCGACGUCAAAUCAGCAUUCCUUAAUGGUUAUCUUGAAGAAGAAGUCUACAAGGCUAUACCAUCCGGGAGAAAGAAGAUUACAUCUACAAAUUGAAGAAAGCACUAUACGGCCUCAAACAAGCUCCGCGAGCAUGGUAUAGCAAAAUUGACAAUUACUUCACCGAAAGUGGAUUUAGAAGGAGUCCAAGCAAGCCUACACUCUAUGUGAAGAAGGUAGACUCGGAAGAUUUUCUAAUUGUCUCACUUUACUUGGAUGAUUUAUUAUUUACAUGCAACAAUCCCGAAGAAGUACAGAAGUUCAAGGCCGACAUGAAGAAAGAGUUCGAAAUGUCCGAUCUCAGAGAAAUGAACUAUUUUUUAGGGAUGGAGAUUCAUCAAUCAAAUGACGGGAUCUUCAUCUGUCAGAAAAAAUAUGCUGAAGAUAUUCUAAAGAAAUUCAAGAUGGAAAAGUGCAAGCCGAUCGCUACACCAUUGGAGGCAAACCUAAAAUUACAAAAGAAGACGGCUAGCCAUCAACCCACGAGAAGCAGUUCAGAAGUUUGGUGGGAAGCUUACUCUAUCUCACAACCACCAGACCAGACCUGAUGUAUGCUGCAAGUCUACUUUCAAGAUUCAUGCAAUCACCAAGCGAAACUCACUUUGUUGUCGGCAAAAGAAUCUUGUGAUACUUUCGAGGCAUGGCGGAUUAUGGAAUCUUCUACAAGUCCAACUCAACCGAAGAUCUCAAAGGCUACAUCGACAGCGACUGGACCAGUAGUGUCGAUGACAUGAAGAGCACUUCCAGGUAAACUUUUUUUAUUGGUUCAGGAGCCAUCUCUUGGACCCCUAGAAAGUAAGAAAUAGUAGCUCAAUCAACUACAGAAGCCAAAUACAUCGCUGCAUCAGCAGCCGUUAGUCAGGUAAUCUGGAUCAGGAAAAUUCUUUCUGAUUUAGGUUGUCUUACCUAUGGAGCUACAACAAUUUAUUGUGAUAGCAAGUCAGCGGUUGCUAUUGCCAAAAACCCGGUCGAUCACGGAAGAACAAAACACAUCAAGGUGAAAUAUCAUUUCAUCGGAGAAGCUGAACGAACACAUAAAGUAUCAUUAAUUCAUUGCGGAUCCAACGAAGAAAUUGCUGACAUUUUCACGAAGCCUCUUCUAAAGGACAAAUUUCAACACUUUUGAACUGCACUCAGAAUGAUGAGUCCAACCUCCAAGGAGGACUGUUAAACUCUGGAUCUUUCACUCAUUUAUUCUAGAGACAACAAACCACCAACACAAUCUAUUUACAGCCACCAAUAAAUUUCCAUCAUCAAAUCAUUAAAAUUAAAUAAAAUUAGUUGUGAUUAAAUGAACUUUAUCUUAUUAAAUUUGUAAAGAUUAUAUAAAACUUUAUAUCUAUCAUUAAUCCAAAAAAAACAAAAUAAAUCAAAACAAAUACAGCUUCUUACAACAGAAGGAGAGGAAGAAAAGUUGCUUCUCUCCAACUUUAAACAUCUUUUCCCAAAUUUCUCUUUCAGUCCAAAACUUCCUCCUUUCUAUAACUUAAUUACCUAAACUUCCAUCUUUCACAAAUCAGUCAAUGUACUAUUUCUACACAAACUCUGAUUACAUUUUAAAUCGUCUAGCUUUUCAUCCUCCACUUGGUUAAUUGACCUCCGGAGAAGGAUUCCAGAUUUUGGUCCAAGAAAACACCCUAAUUUGAUCUUCGCCCCAUUCUCGAACUUCAUCUUCUCUUCGUUGGUGAGGAAGUCCUGAGCGACUUGAUUUUCCGGGAUUGGCAGGUGGAGGUUUUGCAAAUUUAGAUCAGUCUUGGUCAACUUCUUCCGAAUCGCCAAAAUAAGUGUUUCUCAAGACGCCACCGACAAUAGCCGAAACCCUAGAUUUCAAAAAUAGGGGGAAAUCAUUGGCGGCCUCGCAACUCACCGGUAAUGAAGUAGGAGAGGCUGUGCUUGCGAGUGGAAGAAUCCGGACGCCAGGAGUUGUGAUGGCCGGAAUAGUCAGAUAGCAGAAGCACGCGGCUGGUGAUGGGUAGAGGCAUUUAAGAAAAAAUGAAUGCGGAAGAGGUUUCUGCUUGUUCUGGAGAGAAGGCAAGAAGAAGUUAAGGUAAAGAGAGUUUAAAAAUAAAGAGAAAAAGAAAAAGAAAAAGAGUUAAACGGUGGACUAAAUUUAAUUAACGACUAAACUUAAGGUAAUUCAAUUAAAUGUUUUAACAUUUAGAAGGGCAGCAACAACAUUAAUGGAUUAAAAAUAAAAAUUAUUUAAUGAUAUAUCGCUACAUAGUGUUUACACCGAAUGUAUAUUUCUAUUGAAGUGUUACUUUGAAGUGUUACUAUUAAGGCUAAUUGCAAAUCUGGAACUAAUUAUCUUAUACAUUUGCAUGUACUUUCCUCAGUGCAGUGCAGUGUAGGUGCUGCCUUGAUUUUUCCCACAAAUGGAAAAAUAUGAAAAUUUGAUUUGAGAGGUUAUAUAUGAAAUAAAAUUUGGAUAGAAAUAAAAAAAAUUAAUUCUUAAAAUAUAUUUUAUUGAGAUAGUAAAUUUUCUACUCAAAUAAGAAAAUAUUCAAAAUUCUAUUAUAUUCCAACUGCCAGAUGAAUCAUAUUCCAAUGCAUGUGUACGAUCCGUGAGACGACAUACAAUGGCCGUAUCUUAGCAUUGGUCACGUCAUCACAAGGAAUUUGAUUUCUUGUAAAAAUGGCGGUGGUGUGCGAUUCCAAUUCCUGCUCAGAAAGAGGGUAGGCUAGUGGGUGGGAAGAAUGUCAAUGGUUAGCUGACGGUCGGAUGGAACGAUUCCGUAUUUUGUUAUCGACCUUCGCCCUUUGUGUUACUUAAAACAUAGUCAGCUUAACUGCAAACUCUUCAUUUAUAAUAGAAGGCGGCUAAAUAUAAUUUUAACAUUUUAGUUAUUUUGAAAAUCACAAUUGCCAUGAUUCAGGAUUAGCUAUAAUUUUUCAACUUUCUUAAUUUUCUAUAUAUUUUUGUUAAAUAUUAUUUAUCAACACUUAACUUAAUAUUUUUAAGUACAAUUAUAUUAUUUUAUGAUAAAUUGAUACAAACAUUUCGAUAAAAUUUCAUAACAAUCUGAGUUAAUUUUAUUUUUAUUUCUUAAUUCAUUUUAUUUUUUAAAUAUGGUUCACAUGUCUUUAAGACUACCAUUUGAUAAUGUAUAAUGAUGCAUCCCAUCAUCUUUAUUCAAUUUUCCCCAAAGAUAUAAUCAUUUAUUGGUCUUAAAAAUGAAUGACAACACAAGCUUUUAAUUCAUAGUAUAGUCAUCUAAGGUUUUAGUAUUACAUCAUAUCAUCUUUAUUUAUAGUGUAGAGAUCUAGAAUUUUUAGUGAUGCAUCCCAUCAUAUUUAGGCAUAAUUGUUCAUUAUUACACUUCACUUGAUAAUCCAACAAACUCACACUACACAUUGGUCUAUAAAAGGCAAUUUGUGACAAGGUUGUACUUUUGAUUCUCUUGAUGAAUACUUUCAAUUUGGAGAGAGUACUGCUCAUGAGAUCUUGAAGAAAUUCUGCACUACUAUUGUAUAUGUUUAUGGGGCCGAGUAUCUUUGUGAGUCAAUUUGUAAAGAUUUGAAGAAACUAUUGAUCAAAGCAUCUCAACGUGGAUUUCCUAACUUGAUUGGCUCCAUCAAUUGCAUGUAUUGGGAGCGGAGGAAUUGCCCUACUAGUUGAUGUUUAAGCCAUGUGUUCCAUUAAGUUUGCUUAAGUGUUUAGUUAUUUUUAUUUAGUUGUAUAAUUGAGUGCUUAAGUGUGUACGUGUGUUUGUAGUUUUAUUUAUCCUAUAAGUGUUUAAUUAUAUUGCAUGUUUUAGUGAUAAUUUUAGUGUAAAUGAAUGUUUCAUGUUGCAAUCAUAAAAACGAGAAAAGAGAGUAUACUAAAGGAGUAUAGAGAGCGAGAGAUGAAUAGUGGUGUGUCAAAUGUAGGUUAAAUAAAGGUAUUUUUAGAUUUUUUGCUAGCCGUUUUAUGACCGUUAUUUUGAUUUUUGUGCUUUAUAGCUGUUGGGACUAAAUUGAAAAAAUUUGAAAAAUAAAAAGAAAAUAGACGAUUCAGAGUCGCUUGCAUAAUGUGUGACCCAGAUCUAAUAGAAAAAAUGGGUGCACGGAAAGACCUCACCAUAUUCAUAUAGAUUAUGGAUAAACCCGCUUCCACUUUCCUUAACUAUCAAGUCUUGAUCUUUCAAUCUUCAUUACCCACGAAAAAAGUUACUCAACACUAAUCAUCUCCCCACCCGAAAAUCGUGCUGUAAAGAGCUCAACAUUGAAGCCCACCAUCACCAAUAGGCACAACAGCCCCCUCUGCUCCUGUUUCGGACCAUAACCCUUCCGUUCAACAGCUCUGUCCACCGCUUUUUAUUCACGAUUUUGUGAUUAACUGCGACAGAUCAUUCAUAAGCAAUUCGCAGUCAGCGGCGGCUUAUGACAUUAUCAUGACUAAUGUUCAUGGACGAAUCGGUAGCAAUUCCAACGACCUCUUCGUAUGUUCGUCUUUGAUUGAUUGUGUUUGAAGCCCGCGCUCUUCUUAAAGCAAUCUCUUAGGCAAGCCCCUUUGUCAGGUUCAAAUUAGCAUUCUCUCAGAUUUUCAAAUUCGGGUGAAUUGUCUUUUGCGUCACGAUCUCCCUUGGUCAUGGUAAGAAUGUGCCGCUCUCUUGUGCUUGAUGAAGACGAUUCUUAGCCACAGUGUUAAGAUUCAUGUGGCUUUUACCCUCGUGUUAGUAACCAAAUUUCCGAUUGGAUUGCGGUCUCGACUGGGAAUCUGAUCUUUCCAAAUGACCGGUUCGCUCAAUCAAUCUCUAGGGAUUCAUGUGAUCUCCGUCUAACGAACUUUCGAAGUUUGCUUGAAUGAAUAUCAACACCCUUUUUCAACCAAAAAAUGAGUAACUUGUGCAUUGACUAGAUUACCCUCACAUUCAUUAAGUUUUAUUCCGAAUGAACCGUACCCGAAAUUUUCAUUCCUCUAAGACGUUCAAAACGAGCGUACAUAGUGCCCACCGGAAGUACAGACUCCACAAACGAAGUUGUAUGGGCCGCUGGUCUCCGUAAAUGAGUUAACCUCGGUCCUUGCUCACCAGUAUACGAACAAUAGCAAAGAGUCACCAAAAGAACAUCAUUAAAACAGCGCACCCAAAUGACUAACUACUAAAAUAAAACCUAGUUAUGGACACUGCAUGGUCCUUAUUGGAAACACUAUAAGGCUAGUCUCAUGGCUAUCCGCCCACCCUGCUUAGUUGAGGGCUCUCGCCCUAGUGGAUGGUCAGUCAUAGUGAGAGAAACCAGUCUCGGGUUGGCCUUCUGAGGUGACUUAUAGGCUUUCAUUUCAACGAUACCUUCUGUCUCCAUUGGGCCUGAAGUGGUCAGCUCACACCAAUGGCGUUUGAGAUCCUUAUCAAGCUCUUGGCUUGUUGUUUCAGGAGCAGUGUACACUGUGAGAGCUUGCUACAAGUGAAUGUCGGUGUCUGAUGGUGCCUUGUCGGUUGCUGGUUUUUGUGACGAGUUUGAUUGGGGCUUGUUGCAGUUCUUGAUGCUCCAUUGUGAUGCCUUUUGUGCUUGUGCUUCCUUCCACGAUAGUGCCUUGAUCGAGUUAUCCCAUAGGAAUGGAAAUUCCACCUCCGGGUAUUGAAAGCGUAGCACACAUUUCUUCUCAACAUGCCUCAUCACACCACAGAUGAAACAAAACUGCGGUAAGCGCUCGUACUUAUACUUGUAGGUUAUCGUCUUAUUAUCAUGCAUAUGGUGACAUCUCUUUCCUUCAAAAGGGGUUUCCAGGUUUCCAGGUUUCCAGAGAAACUCGGAGCCUCAUGGAUGCAUUGGGGAAGAACUUGCGGUUCUUCUCGUCGUCUCCUCGAUAAACACCCGCCGAGUUAGCAAGUUCCCUACCCACCGGUUCCGCAAAGUAUUCAAAAGGCAAGUUAUGCACCUGAAGCCACAAAUCCACCUUCUGGAGUGAAACUCGCUGUGGUUCGUCCCCCUCUGCGCAACUCAUGGAGGAGCAAGAUAUGGUUGCCAAAGAACCAAGGACUGAAGUCCAUCACAUGGCGCACGUCCAGAUUGUGCGUUAAAUGUAACAUGAAUCGCCUCUCCUCCAGAGCAGUAAUCUCGACCCCGGAUUCUGAUUGCUAUGUAUUAGGCAGGCUACGUCGCAUCAGGGACAAAUUAAUAUCCUUAUUGGUAAGGAACUACUUCAGUGACUCAAAAGCUUGCAAGACAUAGAGACAUACUCCAUGAGUUUACUCAGGUUUGCUACGUCUUCUUCUGUUAUUUAGCUUUUUCUGUCUUGUGUCUGUUGUUUGCCCACCUUUUCCUUUAAGAUAUCAACUUAUGCUACACUCCUGGUAUAGUAAAAUAUUACCUAAUUCUUGCUGUCUCCUAACUUUUUCUGUUAGUGAAGACUGUUUUUAUACAUAUAUGAAUGCUAUUAUCUAGGCAGAAAGAAUCUGCCGGAAUCUCUAAUAAGCUUUUUAGAAACUUAAUGUCACCUCUUCCUUUCCUUUCUUCCCCUCUGUGCACCAUUCCCUGCUCUUUCGGAUGUGGACAUGAUAAAAUUUUGGCCCUCGUCGUUCAGUCCGUUUUGAGCUGCUUGAAUACAAGAUGAGCAUAAGAUCUAAUUCAAGGAACAAAAGUGUUAUGAGUUAUUGACAGUCUACUAACGGGUUUCAUAGAUGCAUUCAUUUUCUCUUGAUCCAAAUGAAUUUUAUAGAUAACCACUUCAAAUGCUGGACUUUUUAAUGUUCAAGUGAAUGCUCUUGAUGGUAAUUUCACUUGUAGGAAUUCAGACGGAUAAAGGGAAACAUCAACUCAAUGAAGGAGCACGCUGAAUUACUUGGUUCAGUUAGAGAUGAUAUCAGCGAGUACAAGGUGAGAAUGAAAAUGUCGACGUUUUCCCCCUCGCAACACUGCUCCAUUUUCUGUGAAUUUCUUAGGGUUAUGCUGUUUGUUUAUGUAGGCUUCAGGAAGCAUGUCUCCAAGAAUGCAAUUAUUACAUGAAAGAGCUUCCAUACAUGGAAGCAUUUCUCAUGUAAUGCCCUUUGUAUAUAGAAAUUACCUCAUCUCAUUGUGGGCUACUGGUACAAAUCCUCAUUGAUCAUGUUGAUAUGGACAAAAGUUGGUAGGUUCAAAUUAUUCUGUUUGCUGCAGAUAGAUAAUGUUAUCAGUCAAGCUCAGGCAACCAGAGCAGUUUUGGCAUCUCAAAGGUCCUUCUUUGGAGAUGUACAAGGGAGUGAAGCAACUAAGUGACAAAUUCCCCAUCAUACGUGGUUUACUCGGUAUAUACCAUUAUUUAUUGUUCGAUUACUGGAUUCGAUUCAAAUCCUCAGCCAACAAUUUUGAUUUCUUGUGUGAUUGAAGGUUCUAUCAGGAGGCGGCGUUCUAGAGACACGCUUAUACUCUCUGCUGUCGUUGCAGCUUGUUCCUUGUUCCUAAUCAUUUAUUGGCUGUCCAAAUGAGUUCACUGCUGACUUCCAAAUUUUACCACAACAGGAAAACAUGGUGGUUGGUUUCCUCUGGAAAGAAUUUUGCAUAAUACGUAAGAGUUUGGUGUAUAGCUUAGAUGGCAUCUUCGUUCCAAAUAAAUAAACAUGGUAUCAGAUUCGGUAGGGGUUCCGAACUGCUGGAUUGUUUUUCUUGUUAUAGAUGGCUCUAAGACGGGAGAAAUAGAGAUAGCAAACACAUGCAAUAACGAAAAAUCUAUUCAAGUCGUGAGAUCAGUAAUAAAUGCAAACGAGGACUAGCCGUCAAGAAAGCUAAGAUGUUUGCGAUGACUAUGCCACUUGCUAAAUGUUGAGUGCUCUGUCGUCAUAACCUGUAAAGCAUCAACUCAAUAUCCACCUUUCUAUUUUAUUCUUUUGUAAAAUUGCACCACCUACCAGUUUUUUAUAGUCCAGAUCUUGUUUGAAACUAUCAAGAACUUGACAUUAUUGAACUGGAUCCAAAAAACUGUACUAUGCAAUUCUCCAUCCAUGGCAUACCAACCUCUAGCAGUAUUAUAAAAUUUUAAGUUGGUCAGUAUGAUGUUCACUGUUAUUAGUCCAACUCACAUGUUGGUUAGAUAGUCAACAACGAAUAAUUCACUCUGUUUUAGGUAAACUACCAACGUCUCAGCUGAAAGAGAACUCCAAACAAAUAAACAAACUUGACUGCCAUCCAUCUGUUUUUUUCCUGUUCUUCACAUACGAGGAGACCAGAGAAGAACAAUAAAAAGCAAGGUUUCUUCAGACCGAAGUAUAAUCACCAUAACCAGCAGUUUAUACAUAGCAGUUCAGACGCUGAAAAUACAGAUUAUGUCAGCAAUAACACUUUUCAUUUCAACUCAAACUGUCAUAUAUAAGGAAGAAAGCUUCGUAGAUACACAAUCAGGAGGGUAACCAGUUAUUUGACCUUGUUAUUUUUUUUUUGCUACCGAAAAUGCUCGCAAAGCAGGGAAAAAGCCACGAAAAAAUGGAACUUUACAGUCAGUUUUUACAGAGUAGCAUGUACCUCUCACGUAUGUAUUGAUUGCUCAUGAUGCAGCGUGUCCAACAGGGAACAACAAGAGCAAACCAGAGCUGACGUAGUCAACCUUAUCUCAGAUUUCUCCAUAAUCACCGCAAAAGAUCUGAACUUGAAUCCUUUGGAUUCUUCUGUAUCUUUUUCUUUUGCAGAAAUUCGAGAGACUCGAAUACAUGGAGACUACAGUCAGAACUCGCAUCCAAGCUGAAGGCAGAAACUCCUAGUGAAGAACCACUACUCUGUACAUAAUUUCAAACGAUUCAAGUAAACCUGGGACUGAAUAACUGUUCUUCCAACCUUAAACCCCGGAAACACUGUGAAUCCCACCUUUACUCUAGUUUUUGUAGGCAAAGUGAACUUUCUGGUGACAUCUUCCAUAAACACCAUGGAGAAAUCAACUCCUUUCUCCACUUGGAAUAUCUCAACAGCAGGAUCAAACGAAAAUGCCAGCAUAUGAAGCGUCCAGGCCGAGCUAGCCAUGUUAACAAAAGAUUCGUAGAACAUGCUUAGUGACCGCANNNNNNNNNNNNNNNNNNNNNNNNNNNNNNNNNNNNNNNNNNNNNNNNNNNNNNNNNNNNNNNNNNNNNNNNNNNNNNNNNNNNNNNNNNNNNNNNNNNNNNNNNNNNNNNNNNNNNNNNNNNNNNNNNNNNNNNNNNNNNNNNNNNNNNNNNNNNNNNNNNNNNNNNNNNNNNNNNNNNNNNNNNNNNNNNNNNNNNNNNNNNNNNNNNNNNNNNNNNNNNNNNNNNNNNNNNNNNNNNNNNNNNNNNNNNNNNNNNNNNNNNNNNNNNNNNNNNNNNNNNNNNNNNNNNNNNNNNNNNNNNNNNNNNNNNNNNNNNNNNNNNNNNNNNNNNNNNNNNNNNNNNNNNNNNNNNNNNNNNNNNNNNNNNNNNNNNNNNNNNNNNNNNNNNNNNNNNNNNNNNNNNNNNNNNNNNNNNNNNNNNNNNNNNNNNNNNNNNNNNNNNNNNNNNNNNNNNNNNNNNNNNNNNNNNNNNNNNNNNNNNNNNNNNNNNNNNNNNNNNNNNNNNNNNNNNNNNNNNNNNNNNNNNNNNNNCAGCCGCUGAAGAUUGGACACAAUUGCCUCGUCGGCGGGCUUUAUCUCUUGCUCGCUAAACGGCACGUGAGCAGUCUGCAGCUGCAGAUACGAAGCUUCGAAAGAAGAAACCGUAGCGAAUAUCGAAGAAAUGAGCGAAUGCGCCAGGCGGGCGUCCACGGGUAGUCGGAUCCGGGUCGGGAGAAUUGAAUUUGGCUUGGCAGCGUAGGAUGGACUAGUCUCCUCUGCUGCAGCCGGGCGGUCUGGCUUGAGGAUGAUAACCUUCUGAUUGGGAAUGAAGUCUUCAGCGGAGUUGAAGAGAGUGAAACCGUCGUCAUCAGCGGCGGCGGCGUCUUCUUCGUCGGCGAAGAAAUCGAAUGUCUUGGCCUUGAAAGCUAGGGCGAAUUUCUGGAACAUAUCGGAGAUUUGCGGGGGCUUCUGGUUCGAAGAAGCGGUGGCGCCACCGACGGCGUCGAUGGCUUCCGUCAUGGCGAAUCCGGCGGAUCUUUAAGCGGUGGUUUUGGGGGGAGAGGAAAAGGAAUUGGAGAGUAAAGGAAGUGGAGGUUCUUUGGAUGGCUUGGAAGGAAGGGAAUGAAUUUGUUUGUUAGGAGGCCGGAGGGGGUUUGGGGGUUGCCACCGCACUUUUCUCGCUUCUUCAUUAAAGGUUGCCUUUUUUCAGUUCCUCUUCCUCUCAUUCCGUCCGGUCUGGUUUUUUUAUUCUUUAUUUUUUGGGGCCCGAAAACUUGGU